AUCAGAAAGAUGUAUGUGCUACUGUAGGUUACACAGAGACUAGAUUUGGAGAGGGGGAAGUAUAAUUUCAUGGGAGUGUAAAAGGAUAUCAGAGAAAUUCACUCAAGUGCCAAGUAGAAGAAUAAAUAUUUUCAAAGACCCCAAGUCUGACUACACCAAAGCUCGAAUUAUAUUAGGUUUCUUACCCUUUAUUGUUCAUUCCUUCUCCAUGCCAGGGUUUGUGGCUGUAAGGCCAUUGGACUGUGAUUCACAUUCAGUGAAGGCAGUAUUGUGUUGCAGGAAAACAAUAACCAUAUGGUGAACUGAAAAUGAAUAUAAUAUUGAUUUUACUGAUACGUUGAUCAGUCUCCAGUUGUGACAGUUCAUAGUCACCAUAUGAUUUGACCUUGUAUUAGGAAUUUUUGGCAGAAGCUAACAUGCUGAGAAUCCUUAUUUGGAUAUUACAUAUUGAAAAUGCUGAAUAAUACUAAAGAUAUUAGUUGCUGGGGUUAGCCUAAUUAAAUGUAAAACAUUAUUUGCAUAGAUUUUUAGUUGUUUGUUCACUAUUGUAGUGCUUUGAUUGUAGCUGUUGUCAUGUGUAAGCAAACUCUGCUGAGUACGAAAAUAAGAAGAGGAACAGACUGGUCAUGUUAUCGUGUCAUAUCUAUGAGGUUUAGCAGGAAUACAGUGUGAAUCACAGACAUAAACAGUGUGGAUUUUGCAAUGUACAAAGCUAUUCCAGCCCCAAAUUACCAUUGGUAGCUACAAGCCAGAGAUCAGCUGGAGAUCAACUGUCUUCUCUUUGCCUUAAUUUUUUCAUAUUGCAGUGUCUUUUCUCUCUAAAGAUUUUCCGAGUUGGAAUACCUAUUUCAGAAUUUGGGAAGCAGAAAUGUAUGCAUCAAAACUACUGAUAAAACGCAGAGUGGCACAACUGCUGUUAUGUCCAAAAAGAUAAAUGCUCUCUUCCUCAAACAGAGGGGCCACUUCCGAGCUGCCUAGAGGGAAUAGCCACUUCUGUGUGCUAACAUCUGAACCAUGCCUGAGCUCUGCUGGGAAGAAGCUUUGCUGCACUGGGCCACCAGGUGAAUAAAGAGCUGUAUUUGGACUUCAACCUGCCUGAUGAAUAUGGACUUUUUAUUCUUCUGAUACACAUGAAUGAAUGGAGUCAACAGCAGAAAAUGUGAGUUUUUUUAACAGGAGAAGUGCAGGAAGGCAUUUAAUUAAAUUAAAGCUCAGAAAAUGUUGAACCUUUGAAAAGAAAUACUUUUUCUAGGCUCCAUGUAAC
rnacentral:lncRNA from 1 species